rnacentral:rRNA from 1 species
GACGAACGCUGGCGGCGUGCUUAACACAUGCAAGUCGAGCGGUAAGGCCCUUUCGGGGGUACACGAGCGGCGAACGGGUGAGUAACACGUGGGUGACCUGCCUUUAGUCUCUGGGAUAAGCCUGGGAAACCGGGUCUAAUACCGGAUAUGACUCCGCGGCGCAUGUUGUGGGGUGGAAAGCCUUGUGCGGCUGGAGAUGGGCCCGCGGCCUAUCAGCUUGUUGGUGGGGUGAUGGCCUACCAAGGCGACGACGGGUAGCCGGCCUGAGAGGGCGACCGGCCACACUGGGACUGAGACACGGCCCAGACUCCUACGGGAGGCAGCAGUGGGGAAUCUUGCGCAAUGGCGAAAGCCUGACGCAGCGACGCCGCGUGAGGG